AUGAACGCUGGCGGCGUGCCUAAUACAUGCCAGUCGAGCGAACGGACGAGAAGCUUGCUUCUCUGAUGUUAGCGGCGGACGGGUGAGUAACACGUGGAUAACCUACCUAUAAGACUGGGAUAACUUCGGGAAACCGGAGCUAAUACCGGAUAAUAUUUUGAACCGCAUGGUUCAAAAGUGAAAGACGGUCUUGCUGUCACUUAUAGAUGGAUCCGCGCUGCAUUAGCUAGUUGGUAAGGUAACGGCUUACCAAGGCAACGAUGCAUAGUCGACCUGAGAGGGUGAUCGGCCACACUGGAACUGAGACACGGUCCAGACUCCUACGGGAGGCAGCAGUAGGGAAUCUUCCGCAAUGGGCGAAAGCCUGACGGAGCAACGCCGCGUGAGUGAUGAAGGUCUUCGGAUCGUAAAACUCUGUUAUUAGGGAAGAACAUAUGUGUAAGUAACUGUGCACAUCUUGACGGUACCUAAUCAGAAAGCCACGGCUAACUACGUG
rnacentral:rRNA from 1 species